rnacentral:rRNA from 1 species
UGGGGAAUAUUGCACAAUGGGGGAAACCCUGAUGCAGCCACGCCGCGUGAGUGAUGACGGCCUUCGGGUUGUAAAGCUCUGUCUUCAGGGACGAUAAUGACGGUACCUAAGGAGGAAGCCACGGCUAACUACGUGCCAGCAGCCGCGGUAAUACGUAGGUGGCGAGCGUUGUCCGGAAUUACUGGGCGUAAAGGGCGCGUAGGCGGAUAUUUAAGUCAGAUGUGAAAGCCCCGGGCUUAACCUGGGGAUUGCAUUUGAUACUGGGUAUAUUGAGGGCAGGAGAGGAAAGUGGAAUUCCUAGUGUAGCGGUGAAAUGCGUAGAUAUUAGGAGGAACACCAGUGGCGAAGGCGACUUUCUGGACUGCAACUGACGCUGAGGCGCGAAAGCGUGGGGAGCGAACGGG